GACGAACGCUGGCGGCGUGCUUAACACAUGCAAGUCGUACGGUAAGGCCCUUUCGGGGGUACACGAGUGGCGAACGGGUGAGUAACACGUGAGUAACCUGCCCACAACUUUGGGAUAACGCUAGGAAACUGGUGCUAAUACUGGAUAUGUGCUCCUGCUGCAUGGUGGGGGUUGGAAAGCUCCGGCGGUUGUGGAUGGACUCGCGGCCUAUCAGCUUGUUGGUGGGGUAGUGGCCUACCAAGGCGGCGACGGGUAGCCGGCCUGAGAGGGUGACCGGCCACAUUGGGACUGAGAUACGGCCCAGACUCCUACGGGAGGCAGCAGUGGGGAAUAUUGCACAAUGGGCGCAAGCCUGAUGCAGCAACGCCGCGUGCGGGAUGACGGCCUUCGGGUUGUAAACCGCUUUCAGCAGGGACGAAGCUUGUUGUGACGGUACCUGCAGAAGAAGCACCGGCUAACUACGUG
rnacentral:rRNA from 1 species